GCUGGGUGUGGCGCUGCACACCUGCAAUUCCUGAGACGCUGGAGGCUGAGGCAGGAGGAUCACGAGUUCAAAGCCAGCCUCGGCAACUUAGUGAGGCCCUAAGCAACUCAGUGAGACUCUGUUUCUA
rnacentral:sRNA from 1 species